UCCUUUUAUUUUGUUGACUAACCAUUUGGCUCCUCCUUCAAUACUGCUCGACAUUGAGUUAAUGUCGUCGCCGACAGAAUUGAGCUCCUUGUUGGCCUUCUGGCCCAACCAAUAGGAACCAACCUUGUUCAGUAUCUGAUCCAUGUAUGCAGCGCUCUCUCUCAAAUCCUCGAUUGAACAACUGGUUUAAUUAUCUUGAAAAUUUCUCUCUUUUUUUUUU
rnacentral:misc_RNA from 1 species